rnacentral:rRNA from 1 species
GACGAACGCUGGCGGCGUGCUUAACACAUGCAAGUCGAACGGAAAGGCCCUGCUUUUGUGGGGUGCUCGAGUGGCGAACGGGUGAGUAACACGAGAGUAACCUGCCCUUGAUUUUGGGAUAACUUCAGGAAACUGGGGCUAAUACCGGAUAGGAGCUCCCGCUGCAUGGUGGGGGUUGGAAAUUUUCGGCGGUUGGGGAUGGACUCGCGGCUUAUCAGCUUGUUGGUGGGGUAGUGGCUUACCAAGCAUGUGACGGGUAGCCGGCAUGGGAGGGUGACCGGGCACAUUGGGACUAAGAUACGGCCCAGACGCGAACGGUGGGCAGCAGUGGGAAAUAUUGCACAAUGGGCGGAAGCCUGUGACAGAGGCGCCGGGUGCGUGAAGACGGCCUUCGGGGUAAAAACCGCUUUCGCCUAUGACGAAGCGGUAGUGACGGUAAUGGGUAAAGAAGCACCGGCUAACUACGUG